GACGAACCGUGCGAACGUUGUUCGGAAUCACUGGGCUUAAAGGGCGCGUAGGCGGCGCCGUCAGUCCGGGGUGAAAGCCCCCAGCUCAACUGGGGAAGGGCCUCGGAAACUGCGGCACUAGAGGUAUGCAGGGGAGAACGGAAUUCCUGGUGUAGCGGUGAAAUGCGCAGAUAUCAGGAGGAACACCGGUGGCGAAGGCGGUUCUCGUGGGCAUUACCUGACGCUGAGGAGCGAAAGUGUGGGGAGCGAACAGG
rnacentral:rRNA from 1 species